rnacentral:sRNA from 1 species
AAAGCCUUGCUUAAUCCUUAUUUUAGCACUUGCUUUUUUGUGAUUACAUAAAUGAAAAUAACUCAUUAUUUUAAAAAGUCUUUAGGGGGACACAUCAUUAGCAGGCAUCCAGAUUCAGAUCUGAAUCCCAUCCUGGCUGUGGGUAACUGUACCCUCAACUUGCUAUCAAAAGUGGGAAUUUGUGUCAGCCUUCCGACAAGCCCAGCGACAGGAGAAUGCGCUAGCGAUAGUCAAUUCAGGAAUGAGAGUCUUUUUUGGAGAAGGGGAUGGCAUUAUUAGAGAGUUAUGCAUCUCAUAUGGAGGCGUUGGUCCAGCCACCAUCUGUGCCAAGAAUUCCUGCCAGAAACUCAUUGGAAGGCACUGGAACGAAGAGAUGCUGGAUACAGCCUGCAGGCUUAUUCUGAAUGAAGUCUCCCUUUUGGGCUCGGCGCCAGGUGGGAAAGUGGAGUUCAAGAGGACUCUUAUCAUCAGCUUCCUCUUCAAGUUCUACCUGGAAGUGUCACAGAUUUUGAAAAAGAUGGAUCCAGUUCACUAUCCUAGCCUUGCAGACAAGUAUGAAAGUGCUUUAGAAGAUCUUCAUUCCAAACAUCACUGCAGUACAUUAAAGUACCAGGUCUAUUGAUCUGUCAGAAGCUCUCAGCAUGCCCGGUGUGGUGGACAUCAUGACAGCAGAACAUCUUAGUGACGUCAACUCCUUCUGCUUUUUUACUGAAGCUGAGAAAUUUCUGGCAACAGAUAAGGUGUUCUGUGUGGGUCAGCUUGUCUGUGCUGUGCUUGCCGAUUCUGAGGUUCAGGCAAAGCGAGCUGCUAAGCGAGUGAAGAUUGUCUAUCAAGACUUGGAGCCGCUGAUACUAACAAUUGAGGAAAGUAUACAACACAACUCCUUCUUCGAGCCAGAAAGGAAACUGGAAUAUGGAAAUGUUGACGAAGCAUUUAAAGUGGUUGAUCAAAUUCUUGAAGGUGAAAUACAUAUGGGAGGUCAAGAACAUUUUUAUAUGGAAACCCAAAGCAUGCUUGUUGUUCCCAAGGGAGAGGAUCAAGAAAUGGAUGUCUACGUGUCCACACAGUUUCCCAAAUAUAUACAGGACAUUGUUGCCUCGACCUUGAAGCUCCCAGCUAACAAGGUCAUGUGCCAUGUAAGGCGUGUUGGUGGAGCGUUUGGAGGGAAGGCGUUAAAAACCGGAAUCAUUGCAGCCGUCACUGCAUUUGCCGCAAACAAACAUGGCCGUGCAGUUCGCUGUGUUCUGGAACGAGGAGAAGACAUGUUAAUAACUGGAGGCCGCCAUCCUUACCUUGGAAAGUACAAAGCUGGAUUCAUGAACGAUGGCAGAAUCUUGGCCCUGGACAUGGAACAUUACAGCAAUGCAGGCGCCUCCUUGGAUGAAUCAUUAUUGGUGAUAGAAAUGGGACUUCUGAAAAUGGACAAUGCUUACAAGUUUCCCAAUCUCCGCUGCCGGGGUUGGGCAUGCAGAACCAACCUUCCAUCCAACACGGCUUUUCGUGGGUUUGGCUUUCCUCAGGCAGCGCUGAUCACCGAAUCUUGUAUCACGGAAGUUGCAGCCAAAUGUGGACUAUCCCCUGAGAAGGUGCGAAUCAUAAACAUGUACAAGGAAAUUGAUCAAACACCCUACAAACAAGAGAUCAAUGCCAAGAACCUAAUCCAGUGUUGGAGAGAAUGUACGGCCAUGUCUUCCUACUCCUUGAGGAAAGUUGCUGUGGAAAAAUUCAAUGCAGAGAAUUAUUGGAAGAAGAAAGGACUGGCCAUGGUCCCCCUGAAGUUUCCUGUUGGCCUUGGCUCACGUGCUGCUGGUCAGGCUGCUGCCUUGGUUCACAUUUAUCUUGAUGGCUCUGUGCUGGUCACUCACGGUGGAAUUGAAAUGGGGCAGGGGGUCCACACUAAAAUGAUUCAGGUGGUCAGCCGUGAAUUAAGAAUGCCAAUGUCGAAUGUCCACCUGCGUGGAACAAGCACAGAAACCGUCCCUAAUGCAAAUAUCUCUGGAGGUUCUGUGGUGGCAGAUCUCAACGGUUUGGCAGUAAAGGAUGCCUGUCAAACUCUUCUAAAACGCCUCGAACCCAUCAUCAGCAAGAAUCCUAAAGGAACUUGGAAAGACUGGGCACAGACUGCUUUUGAUGAAAGCAUUAGCCUUUCAGCUGUUGGAUACUUCAGAGGUUAUGAGUCAGACAUGAACUGGGAGAAAGGCGAAGGCCAUCCCUUCGAAUAUUUUGUUUAUGGAGCUGCCUGUUCCGAGGUUGAAAUAGACUGCCUGACGGGGGAUCAUAAGAACAUCAGAACAGACAUUGUCAUGGAUGUUGGCUGCAGUAUAAAUCCAGCCAUUGACAUAGGCCAGAUUGAAGGUGCAUUUAUUCAAGGCAUGGGACUUUAUACAAUAGAGGAACUGAAUUAUUCUCCCCAGGGCAUUCUGCACACUCGUGGUCCAGACCAAUAUAAAAUCCCUGCCAUCUGUGACAUGCCCACGGAGUUGCACAUUGCUUUGUUGCCUCCUUCUCAAAACUCAAAUACUCUUUAUUCAUCUAAGGGUCUGGGAGAGUCGGGGGUGUUCCUGGGGUGUUCCGUGUUUUUCGCUAUCCAUGACGCAGUGAGUGCAGCACGACAGGAGAGAGGCCUGCAUGGACCCUUGACCCUUAAUAGUCCACUGACCCCAGAGAAGAUUAGGAUGGCCUGUGAAGACAAGUUCACAAAAAUGAUUCCAAGAGAUGAACCUGGAUCCUACGUUCCUUGGAAUGUACUCAUCUGAAUCAAAUGCAAACUUCUGGAGAAAACGGAGUGCCUCUUCCCAGAUGGCAAUCUGUCCUAUCUCUGUGCUGGAAGAUGCUAGAUCUGAAAGACAGAGUUUCCACAGUUCAGAAAUCAUCCCCCAGUGUUGCUUUUCUAGGGAGCUGAUUUAAAGUAUUCCAUUUAGAUGUGAUAGAUAUGCUUAAGCAAUCUAUAAAUCAUUUUCAAUGUUAUAAACACUAAUUGGUUUCCUCUAGGGUGAUAUUCGUCAUUACUCUGUCUCUUCAAUCCAUCCAGCUAAAUGGAAUAGGUGAUGACUUGCAUGUGACUCCUACUUGGCUUCUAUCCACCAACAGAAAUUAUACCAUAUAGUGAAAGGCAAUUUUCUAAAUAAUUUCAUUACUAAUAUGAACUGUGAAGUUGUCAUUUUUUCAUUUGUCCCUUUCUGCUAUCACCUUCCUCUUGUCAGAAUGAAUAUA